rnacentral:rRNA from 2 species
CGACGCUGGCGGCGUGCCUAAUACAUGCAAGUCGAACGAACUCUGGUAUUGAUUGGUGCUUGCAUCAUGAUUUACAUUUGAGUGAGUGGCGAACUGGUGAGUAACACGUGGGAAACCUGCCCAGAAGCGGGGGAUAACACCUGGAAACAGAUGCUAAUACCGCAUAACAACUUGGACCGCAUGGUCCGAGUUUGAAAGAUGGCUUCGGCUAUCACUUUUGGAUGGUCCCGCGGCGUAUUAGCUAGAUGGUGGGGUAACGGCUCACCAUGGCAAUGAUACGUAGCCGACCUGAGAGGGUAAUCGGCCACAUUGGGACUGAGACACGGCCCAAACUCCUACGGGAGGCAGCAGUAGGGAAUCUUCCACAAUGGACGAAAGUCUGAUGGAGCAACGCCGCGUGAGUGAAGAAGGGUUUCGGCUCGUAAAACUCUGUUGUUAAAGAAGAACAUAUCUGAGAGUAACUGUUCAGGUAUUGACGGUAUUUAACCAGAAAGCCACGGCUAACUACGUGCCAGCAGCCGCGGUAAUACGUAGGUGGCAAGCGUUGUCCGGAUUUAUUGGGCGUAAAGCGAGCGCAGGCGGUUUUUUAAGUCUGAUGUGAAAGCCUUUCGGCUCAACCGAAGAAGUGCAUCGGAAACUGGGAAACUUGAGUGCAGAAGAGGACAGUGGAACUCCAUGUGUAGCGGUGAAAUGCGUAGAUAUAUGGAAGAACACCAGUGGCGAAGGCGGCUGUCUGGUCUGUAACUGACGCUGAGGCUCGAAAGUAUGGGUAGCAAACAGGAUUAGAUACCCUGGUAGUCCAUACCGUAAACGAUGAAUGCUAAGUGUUGGAGGGUUUCCGCCCUUCAGUGCUGCAGCUAACGCAUUAAGCAUUCCGCCUGGGGAGUACGGCCGCAAGGCUGAAACUCAAAGGAAUUGACGGGGGCCCGCACAAGCGGUGGAGCAUGUGGUUUAAUUCGAAGCUACGCGAAGAACCUUACCAGGUCUUGACAUACUAUGCAAAUCUAAGAGAUUAGACGUUCCCUUCGGGGACAUGGAUACAGGUGGUGCAUGGUUGUCGUCAGCUCGUGUCGUGAGAUGUUGGGUUAAGUCCCGCAACGAGCGCAACCCUUAUUAUCAGUUGCCAGCAUUAAGUUGGGCACUCUGGUGAGACUGCCGGUGACAAACCGGAGGAAGGUGGGGAUGACGUCAAAUCAUCAUGCCCCUUAUGACCUGGGCUACACACGUGCUACAAUGGAUGGUACAACGAGUUGCGAACUCGCGAGAGUAAGCUAAUCUCUUAAAGCCAUUCUCAGUUCGGAUUGUAGGCUGCAACUCGCCUACAUGAAGUCGGAAUCGCUAGUAAUCGCGGAUCAGCAUGCCGCGGUGAAUACGUUCCCGGGCCUUGUACACACCGCCCGUCACACCAUGAGAGUUUGUAACACCCAAAGUCGGUGGGGUAACCUUUUAGGAACCAGCCGCCUAAGGUGGGACAGAUGAUUAGGGGAA